rnacentral:lncRNA from 1 species
UUUAUGGCUUCCACUUCAAAACAUCACGGAUCUUAGGAAAAUGUUUGUAUUUCUCAUUUGGUAUGAUUUAGAGAAAUAUUUCUGUAACAUCUCCUUUUCAUAUUGUGCAAUUCACACCAGAGACAUCUCUAUGAAAUAUUUACUCAUGAUUUUUAUUUGAAGGGAAGUAGCUGGUUGCUGCAUGGAAAGCUUUGUGGCGGAGAUUCCUUGCUUUCAAAAGAAAAUUGAAGCUAAAUAAAAAAGAUUUCAAGGCGAGCCCAGAGAGGUCUUUCCUUUGCGAAAGGACUUUUCAGAGCAUUUACUAUAUCUUUUAACCUUAGACUUCACCCUUCAGAAUGGGUCUGUUUGGAAUAACUGCGCUGCCCAAUGCUCUUAAGGAAAUGAUGCAAACACUGUUGCUGAAGGCGUUACUGUUAAGUUCCAUGUAGUGUGACUUUGUGUAAGUCUCCCCUAACAGGUUAGUUCAUAUAUGGAUGCAUGUAUGAGUGUCUUUGGCUCCUUAAUGCUUGUAGGAUGUAAUUAUAAGGGUUAAUUAGAUAAUAAUAUAAGAUACAAGAAACUAAAACAAGUGUAAGUGAAAGCUGAAUUCUGAAGUAAAGGUCCUACUGAAUAGCUUCGUUGGGAGCCUUGCUGGAACAAUGCCCAGUGUCACCUUUAGGAGAAGGUCCAACAAGAAAUCAGAUUUGGGGCAUUAGAUAGCUUGUAGCAUGUCAUAUUUUACCUCUCACACCAUUAGAUAAGGCCAGGGGAUUAUGAUAGUUAGAUUAAUUGUCAACUUAACAGAAUCUAGAAUCAUUUUAGAAGAGGGUUUCAACGUGGGAUUGUCUAUAUCAGCAGUUCUCAAACUGUGAGUCGUGACUUUUUUGAGGGGUCACAUAUCAGAUAUCCUGCCUAUUAGAUUCAUACAAAUUAUAACAGUAGCAAAAUUAUAGUUAUGAAGUAGUAAUGAAAUAAUUUUAUGGCUGGGGGUCAACACAACUUCAGGAGCUGUAGUUAAUGUCAUAGCCUUAGGAAAGUUGAGAAUCACCAGUCUAUACCAUCGCCCUGCGGGAUGGCCGUGAGAGACUGCAUAGGAAAACCGAACCUGAUGUGGGUGAUGUAGUUCAUGGGUUGGGCCCUGGAAUGAGGGAGACCAGGGUGCUGGUGUGCCUGCGUUUAUGUUUGUCCAUUCUUGAUCAUGGACGUGCUGUGAGCAGCUCCCUUCGGCAUCUGCGACUUUGAUGUCUCUGCUAUGGACUUUAGCCUGGAGUUGGAGCCCUUUCUCCCCUAAGUUACUUCUGUCUGGCGUUUUUUUCUAAGUGACUAGAAAGGAUAGUGUACUAUUUUAAGAUAUGGUAGGACAAGCUUGCUUCUGCCUUUCUUCUGUAAGACAGAACUGUCUCUUCCAAGGGAGAUUAUCAUAUGCUAAUCCUCUGUUGGGGCCUUUUGGAUUAGGUGCAGAACUGCUUGUGCUGCGGCGGCGUGGAGAAUUUCAUCAACUGAUUCCAGAAAGCUUAUUUUAUUCUACCCCCAAGGGAGUGAUCUCACCUUAAAGCUGGCAAAACUUAAGCAUCAGGAACCCUCCUUUUCCCUGGGUUUCUUUCAUCUUAUUAAAUGACUUUGUCAGAUUACAAAAUUAAGGAAAUUUGUGGACAGGUUUCUUAAGGAUAGUUCAAGU